UGUGUAGGCGGUUCUUUAAGUUUGGUGUGAAAUCUCCCGGCUCAACCGGGAGGGUGCGCCGAAUACUGAGGGACUAGAGUACGGGAGAGGAAAGUGGAAUUCCUGGUGUAGCGGUGAAAUGCGUAGAUAUCAGGAGGAACACCGGUGGUGUAGGCGGCUUUCUGGACCGUAACUGACGCUGAGACACGAAAGCGUGGGUAGCAAACAGGAUUAGAUACCCUGGUAGUCCACGCCCUAAACGAUGCAUAUUUGGUGUGGGCAGUUCAUUCUGUCCGUGCCGGAGCUAACGCGUUAAAUAUGCCGCCUGGGGAGUACAGUCGCAAGGCUGAA
rnacentral:rRNA from 1 species